rnacentral:rRNA from 1 species
ACACGCAUGACACACUGCAUAUCAAUAAGCGGAGGAAAAGAAACUAACAAGGAUUCCCUCAGUAACGGCGAGUGAAGCGGGAAGAGCUCAAAUUUGAAAUCUUCAAGGUUUUACCUUGACGAAUUGUAGUUUAAAGAAGUGUUUUCUGUUGGAGUUUCGGUAAAAGUUCUUUGGAAUAGGACAUCAUAGAGGGUGAUGAAUCCCGUAUUUGACCAUUACUUUCCAGCUGUGUGAUACACUUUCAAAGAGUCGGAUUGUUUGGGAAUGCAGUCCAAAAUGGGUGGUAAAUUUCAUCUAAAGCUAAAUAUUGGCGAGAGACCGAUAGCGAACAAGUACCGUGAGGGAAAGAUGAAAAGAACUUUGAAAAGAGAGUUAAACAGUACGUGAAAUUGUCAAAAGGGAAGCGUUUGACACCAGUGCUGUUUUCUCGAAAAUCAAUUAAAAAUGAUGGGAUUUUGUGUUGUAUUGACUUUAUCAGCUUUCUGCACUUUUUUCCUUAUCUUUUUUAAUGCACUUUUCGUUUAACAAGUCAACAUCAAUUUCUUUUGUUGUAAAAGAGUCAUUGGAAGGUGGCUUUUUCUUCGGAAAAAGUGUUUAUAGCCUUUGGCUUCUGCAAUCGGAGAGAUUGAGGUCUGCAGCGUAGAUCCUUCGGGGUUAGAUACAUUUGUGCUAAGCUAUAGUUCUUUAUAGACAACUUGUUGACUAUAAUCCAAUCCUGUAACUUACUCGCUUAUGCUAUUUUACCUACGCUUAGGAUGUUGACUGAUAUGUAGUCGU